GUGGGGAAUAUUGGACAAUGGGCGAAAGCCUGAUCCAGCCAUGCCGCGUGUGUGAAGAAGGUCUUCGGAUUGUAAAGCACUUUAAGUUGGGAGGAAGGGUAGUAACCUAAUACGUUGCUACUUUGACGUUACCGACAGAAUAAGCACCGGCUAACUUCGUGCCAGCAGCCGCGGUAAUACGAAGGGUGCAAGCGUUAAUCGGAAUUACUGGGCGUAAAGCGCGCGUAGGUGGUUCAGUAAGUUGGAAGUGAAAUCCCCGGGCUCAACCUGGGAACUGCUUUGAAAACUGCUGAGCUAGAGUACGGUAGAGGGUGGUGGAAUUUCCUGUGUAGCGGUGAAAUGCGUAGAUAUAGGAAGGAACACCAGUGGCGAAGGCGACCACCUGGACUGAUACUGACACUGAGGUGCGAAAGCGUGGGGAGCAAACAGGAUUAGAUACCCGAGUAGUCC
rnacentral:rRNA from 1 species